rnacentral:tRNA from 1 species
AGCUUUAUAGUCAAAUAAAUGAUAUAAAAUUGCAAAUUUUAAGUAAUAAUAGGAAAUUAUUAAGGCUU